rnacentral:rRNA from 1 species
CUGGCUCAGGAUGAACGCUAGCGACAGGCUUAACACAUGCAAGUCGAGGGGCAGCAUAGAAGUAGCAAUACUUGGUGGCGACCGGCGCACGGGUGAGUAACGCGUAUGCAACCUACCUAUCAGAGGGGAAUAACCCGGCGAAAGUCGGACUAAUACCGCAUAAAACAGGGGCACCGCAUGGUGAUAUUUGUUAAAGAAAUUCGCUGAUAGAUGGGCAUGCGUUCCAUUAGGUAGUUGGUGAGGUAACGGCUCACCAAGCCGACGAUGGAUAGGGGAACUGAGAGGUUGGUCCCCCACACUGGUACUGAGACACGGACCAGACUCCUACGGGAGGCAGCAGUGAGGAAUAUUGGUCAAUGGGCGGGAGCCUGAACCAGCCAAGUCGCGUGAAGGAAGAAGGAUCUAUGGUUCGUAAACUUCUUUUGCAGGGGAAUAAAGUGCAGGACGUGUCCUGUUUUGUAUGUACCCUGAGAAUAAGGAUCGGCUAACUCCGUGCCAGCCGCUGC